rnacentral:rRNA from 1 species
UGAAUUGAAGCCCCAGUAAACGGCGGCCGUAACUAUAACGGUCCUAAGGUAGCGAAAUUCCUUGUCAGGUAAGUUCUGACCCGCACGAAAGGCGUAACGAUUUGGGCGCUGUCUCAGCUGUAGACUCGGUGAAGUCUUAGUACCUGUGAAGAUGCAGGUUACCCGCGACUAGACGGAAAGACCCCAUGGAGCUUCACUGCAGGUUGAUAUUGGGAUUUGAUGCAGCAUGUACAGGAUAGGUAGGAGGCAAAGAGAUGGAUACGCCAGUAUUCAAGGAGCCGCUGUUGGGAUACUACCCCUGUUGUAUUGGAUUUCUAACCGGACGACGUAGAGCCGUUGACGGGACAGUGUCAGUCGGGCAGUUUGACUGGGGCGGUCGCCUCCCAAAGAGUAACGGAGGCGCCCAAAGAUACCCUCAGCUUGGAUGGAAACCAAGCGCAGAGUGCAAAGGCAAAAGGGUGUUUGACUGCGAGACCCACAAGUCGAGCAGGGACGAAAGUCGGGCUUAGUGAUCCGGCGGUGCUGAAUGGAAAGGCCGUCGCUCAACGGAUAAAAGCUACCCUGGGGAUAACAGGCUGAUCUCCCCCAAGAGUUCACAUCGACGGGGAGGUUUGGCACCUCGAUGUCGGCUCAUCGCAUCCUGGAGCUGAAGUCGGUUCCAAGGGUUGGGCUGUUCGCCCAUUAAAGCGGUACGCGAGCUGGGUUCAGAACGUCGUGAGACAGUUCGGUCCCUAUCUGUCGUGGGCGCAGGAAAUUUGAGAAGAGCUGUCCUCAGUACGAGAGGACCGGGAUGGACGCAUCAAUGGUGGACCAGUUGUCACGCCAGUGGCAUAGCUGGGUAGCUAAAUGCGGAAGGGAUAAACGCUGAAGGCAUCUAAGUGUGAAACCCACUUCAAGAUGAGAUUUCCCAUUGCGCAAGCAAGUAAGACCCCUUAAAGACGAUAAGGUAGAUAGGUCAGGAGUGUAAGCGACGGUAUCGAUAAGCUUGAU